AGAAAAUAAAUGAUAAUGCAUAUAAACUUGAGCUGCCUGCAGAUUUUGGGGUUAGUCCCACUUUUAACAUUGCAGAUUUGAAGCCUUAUUUGGGUGAGGAAGAUGAACUUCCGUCGAGGACGACUUUAUUUCAAGAAGGGGAGGAUGAUGAGGACAUCAAUACAAUUGUUACACCCACAGCCCCUGCUGCUAUAAAUACUGGACCAAUUACUAGAGCUCGCGCACGCCAACUAAAUUACCAGGUACUUUCGUUUCUUGGUAAUGAUUCUAAUGUUCAUGAGAAUAUGAUGCUGCCUAAAUUGGAUACAUUUGUUUUGCUUACAAAUGAAGGGCCUAGCUUGGAGAAGGAUGAACACUGGAUUAAGAACAAGCAUGGAGAUGAUGGCAUGCGCAAGGGGAACAAGAACAGAGUUACAAGUGAUGAUUUCAGGACUUUGAAGCCACCAUAAUGGGUGCAUGAAGCCUUGGACGAAAUAUACAAGAUGCCACUUCAUAAAUUUCGUCCCGAGGCUAUUAUAGGUGCUGCGUCACCUUAUUAUUGGGCCAGGCCCAUGUAAUUUCGAAAUACAUAAGUAUAGGUUAUUUUUAGAGUCCGUAUGUGUGGGGAAACAAGAGAUAGGGUUGAUUUCGGACCCCUCCACCAAGGGUCACGAAAUUCCCCCCUCUUCCUCCAUAUAUACAGCCCUUAGGGCAUCGUUUAGACUUUGGGUUUUGUUUAGAUUAAAAGUUCGCCAUAGCUGCAACUUCGCGUACUUCGUUUGUGUUCAACGACCAGACAAAGGCGUCACAGAACCCCACCUUGAUCAAUAAAGUUUUCAUCUUAUAUUCGCAAUAUCCAGAUUGCAAUCUCAGUUUCUUGCUUGUUCUUCGUUUGCUCGCAGGAAACAGACCCUCGUGGUCAGGUUGAUCGUGCUCCGGCAUGGUCAAUAACCUCUCGGAGUUGGUUUAGCAAUUGCUAAGGCGCGACGUCCUCGCACGUUCGUAGUCGGAUCGUCAAAGUCGACUGCCACCAAAGCGAUAUCCAUCAUCUCAUCGAAAGACGGGACACCUUUGCCUCUAUCAUGAGGGAUGCUCCGCAUCAUCCNNNNNNNNNNNNNNNNNNNNNNNNNNNNNNNNNNNNNNNNNNNNNNNNNNNNNNNNNNNNNNNNNNNNNNNNNNNNNNNNNNNNNNNNNNNNNNNNNNNNNNNNNNNNNNNNNNAGCUUCAUCUCCAUGGUAUGGUGCGAGGUCCUUGACGUUGAAGAUGUCGCUCACAUUGUACUUGUCUCAAGGUAGGUCUAUCUUGUAGGCGUUGUCGUUGUAGCGUGCUAGCACCUUGAAAGGUCCAUCGGCUCGAGGGAGAAGCUUGGACUUGCGUUCUUUGGGGAAUCGGUCCUUGCGAAGGUGUAGCCACACUAGAUCACCAAUGUUGAAGACCAUGGGUUGGUUGUUGACGUUGAGCAUGGUCUCUAGUCCUUGUACUUGUCGCUCGAUGGUUUGUCUUGUACCCUCAUGCAUCUUUUUGAUGUAGCUUGCCCAUGCACUCGCAUCCAUGUUGGUGCGCUCUUGUAGAGGAAGAGGUAGAAUGUCCAAUGGUGACAACGGGUUGAAGCCGUAGACGACCUCGAAGGGGGACUUGCCGGUAGUCGAAUGUCUUGCACGAUUGUUGGCGUACUCGGCGCUAGGUAGACAUGCCUCCCACUCCUUGAUGUUAUUCUUGAUCAAGACGCGAAGUAGAGAGGAGAGUGUGCGGUUCAUCACCUCCGUUUGGCCGUUGGUUUGAGGAUGGUAUGCGGAUGAGAACAAGAGCUUGAUUCCGAGCUUGGCGCAUAGGGUCUUCCAAAAGUAACUCAAGAACUUGACGUCACGAUCGGAGACGAUUGUCUUUGGUACUCCAUGGAGUCGCAAGAUUUUCCUACAAAAGAGAUUUGCAAUGUGUGAAGCAUCGUCUAUCUUGUUGCAAGGAAUGAAAUGUGCCAUCUUAGAAAAUCUAUCCACAACAACAAACACGGAAUCCUUUCCAUUUUGAGUUCUAGGCAAACCAAGUACAAAAUCCAUGCUAAUGUCUUCCCACAGUUGAUAAGGAAUAGGAAGAGGCAUGUAAAGACCAUGAGAUUGAGCUUUAGACUUAGCUUUGCGACAUGUAGAGCAUCGGUUGGUGAAGUGUGAGACGUCGCGGAACAUCUUGGGCCAAAAGUAGUUCUUGGAGAGCGUGGCGAAUGCCUUGUCGCGUCCAAAGUGUCCCAUGAGUCCGCCUCCAUGAGCCUCUUGCAAAAGGAGCAAACGAAGAGAAGACUCGGGAAUACAUAGUUUGUUAGCUCUCAUAAGAUAACCAUCUUUGAUGUAAUAUUGUUCCCAAGAAGUAUGCGUCAAACACUUAGCAUAAGGAGUCGCAAAAUAUGAAUCAUUAGCAUACAAGUCUUCUAUGUGCUCAAAGCCAAUAACAUUCAAUUCAAGUUUAGUGACAAGCGUGCAUAUGCGUGAAAGUGCAUCGGCAACUACAUUUUCUUUAACCUUAAUGUAUUUGAUCACAUAGGGAAAAGAUUUAAUAAAUUCACUCCAUUUGGCAUGAUGCUUGUUCAACUUAGUUUGACAUUUUAUGUACUUAAGUGUUUCAUGAUCGGUAUGGAUAACAAACUCAUGCGGUCUAAGGUAAUGUUCCCAAACAUGUAGCACACGCACUAAAGCAUACAAUUCUUUGUCAUAGAUGGGAUAGUUAAGUUGAGCACCGGAGAGUUUUUCACUAAAAUAUGCAAUGGCUCGUUUUUCUUGCAUCAAAACUCCGCCAAUUCCGGUACCACUUGCAUCACAAUGGACCUCAAAAGUUUUGUCAAAAUUGGGCAAAGCAAGAAUCGGAGCAUGAGUAAGCAAAGACUUGAGCUCAUCAAAAGCGGUGGAUUGCAAAGUUCCCCAAACAAAAGGAGUAUUCUUCUUACUCAAAGCGUGUAAAGGAGCGGCAAUGGUGCUAAAAUCUUUCACAAAGCGACGAUAAAAACCUGCAAGACCAAGAAAGCUACGCACUUGUUGCAAAUUGGUGGUUUGUGGCCAAGUUUUAAUUGCUUCAAUUUUAGAUUCAUCAACAUGGACACCCUUUGAGGAUACAACAAAACCCAAGAAAACUACUUUGCCAACACCAAAUGUGCAUUUUUUCAUGUUUGCAUAAAGACUUUCCUUGCGAAGGGUUUGCAAAACAGCCCUAACAUCAUCAAGAUGCUCUUUCAUGGUUUUGCUAAACACAAGAAUAUCGUCGAAGUAAACCACAACACAGACUCCAAUAUAAGGCCGAAGCACAUGAUGCAUGAGAUGCACAAAAGUACCGGGAGCUUACGAUAAACCCAUAGGCAUGACUAACCACUCAUAUAAACCAAAUUUGGUUUUGAAAGCAGUUUUCCAUUCAUCACCUUCUUGAAUGCGGAUUUGAUAAUAGCCACUUUUAAGAUCAAUUUUUGAGAAAAAGUUGGCUCCACUAAGUUCAUCCAGCAUAUCAUCUAGGCGAGGAAUGGGAUGCCUAUAGCGAACGGUAAUAGCAUUUAUAGGUCUACAAUCGGAACACAAGCGGAAACUUCCAUCGGGCUUGGGCACAAGUAUAACGGGAACGGCACAAGGGCUUAGGCUUUCACGUACAUGACUAUUAUCGAUGAAUUGUUGUACUUGCCAUUGAAUCUCCUUGGUUUCUUCGGGAUUGACUCGGUAUGGAGCUUUGUUUGGUAGAGGCGCUCCGGGGAUGAGGUUGAUUCGAUGCUCAAUGCCUCUAAGAGGAGGUAGACCCGGAGGGAGUUCAUCGGGGAAAACAUCUUGGAAUUCCUGCAAAAGAGAUUGAAACACUAAAGGUAGGUCAUGAGAGGUGUUAGUUGUUGGCUCUCCAUCCUUGCACACAAGGACAGAGUGCAUCACACUUGAUGGGUUCUCACACACUUCUCUCAUCUCACUUUUUGUGGCAAAUAGGAUGAGGUUUUUCUCUCUAGGCGAAGAGGCGCUCAGGUUUGGCUUGUGGCUCUCACUCACUUUGUGGUGGAUCACUUUCUCACUCCUCUCCAUGAUGGGUGGUUUGCUUGUCGGCUAACACUUGACUAGGAGACAUAGGUCGUAGCACGUACUCCUUCCCUUUCAUCUUGAAGCUAUAGUGAUUGGUACGUCCAUUGUGGAAGACACCACGGUCGAAUUGCCAUGGUCGACCAAGAAGGAGGUGGCAAACCGUCAUUGGGACCACAUCACAUUCCAAAGUGUCCUCAUAUGCACCAAUUUUGAAGGAGACUUGGACCGUAUGCUCAACUCGUAUAGUGCCGGAGUCACUUAGCCAUUGAACCUUGUAGGGGUGCGGGUGCUUCCUCUUGACUAAUUGAAGCUUGGAGCAUAGUUCUUCACUUGCCAAGUUGUGGCAACUACCUCCAUCGAUGAUGACCUUGAUGGACCGUCCAUUGAUGCCGGCCUUUGUGUGGAAGAUGUGGCAUCUUUGGUCGUCUUCUUGUUGAUGUUGAAGAGUCAAGACCUUGCAAACAACGAGAGCGCGGCUCGAAUCCUCAUCACAAAAGACUUGAUCAUCUUCAUCUUCGUUCACUCGCCGGUGCAUGGCCACUUGCUCAAGAGCUUCCAUCUCCUCAUCACUCAUUGAGUCAUAGGUGCCAUCGUCGUUGAGGAUCAUGGUGCGCUUGUUGGUGCAUUCGUAGGACUUGUGGCCUCGGCCGCCGCAAGUGAAACACUUGAAGGAGCUUGUCUUGACGGUCUCAUCGGUCGGAGUAGAUGACGAAGCACGCGGCUUGAAGUUGCUUGUAGUAGGAAGAGGACGACUUGAACUUGUUGAAUUUUUCUUGUAACUUUCCUUGUCGUCAUUGUUUGGAGAAGCUUUGGUUGAUGUAGAUGUUGGAGGAGGUGUUGUAGCUUGGUUGUUGGAGAACCCGUAGGUCUUGGACGAGUACUUAGCGUACUUGAAGUCAUCUUGCACUUGACGUUCCACCUUUGUAGCUUGAUGCACGAGCUCAAUGAGGGUGGUGUAUGGUUGGAAAUCGGCAAUCUUCUUGAUGGGAUGAUUGAGUCCAUUCAAGAAACGUGCCAUUGUUUGUUCAUCAUCUUCCUUGACAUUGGCUCGAAUCAUGGCUAUCUCCAUUUCCUUGUAGUAUUGUUCAACACUCUUUGUUCCUUGCUUGAGGAGUUGGAGUUUCUUGAAGAGGUCGCGGUUGUAGUAGGUUGGCACAAAACGUGCUCGCAUCACAUACUUCAUUUGAGCCCAAGUGGUGAUUGGGGGUUCACCUCUUGCUUGUCGCCUCUCAAGGAUUUGUUCCCGACAUAUGAGCACAUAGUCUUGGAACUCAAGUGAUGCCAUGGCGAUUUUCUUCUCUUCCUCAUAGUUGUGCAAACGAAAGAUUUUGUCGACCUUCAAUGCCCAUGAGAGAUAUUCUUCAAGGUCAUUGCUUCCAGUGAACUUGGGCAUGGUGAAUUUGAGCUUUCCAUAUCAUUGCUCUUCGCGUGGAGGAAGUCCAUGAUCAACUUGCUCUUGUUGAACUUGAGGUUGAGGUGGAGCUUGAGGAGCUUGAGGAACUUGAUGUUGCACGCGCGGUUGAUAGUUCCUCUCUUGUAUUUCUUCUCGAAGGGCUUCUUCUUGAUUGCGCCGUUCGCGAUUGCGGUUGGCGAUGGCUCGACUUGAUUCUUGAAGGGCACGUUGUGCCUCAAGAGCUUGCGCUUCUAGUUGCUGUUGUUGAAGACGUUGCGCCUCAGCGUCUUGUUCUUCUUGGUGUAGAUGCGCUCGUUCUUCCUCUUGGCACCGUAGUCGUUGUCGUUCUUGAGCUUGGGCAAAAGCGGCUUGGUUUGAUUGAGGACGAGGGACUUGCUCAUCGACUUGCUCUUGUGAAUGCUUGUCAUGUAGUGGGUUGCGAGAUACAUGACGGUCUUGACGCGCGGCUCGUCGAAGAGUGUUCGAUGACGGUGUACUUGAGUCGUAGAAGGUGUCUUCGGAGUGCCGACUCAAGCGGCUCCGUCUUGAGGAUGAAGAAGUGGAAUGAUGCCGGUUCGUCAUCAAGGCGUGGAUCUCGUCCAUUCUUGCAUCAUUCUCUUGCUUGUGAGCGUCAAACUUGUUGUCGAAGUAGUCUCUUGUACGUUGCUCGGAGAGUCGUAAGUCGGUGGCGAGGUUGUCGAUGCGGUCGCUCAUUGCUUGUUGCUCUCUGUGUAACGCUCGUUGUGCACCAAAGAGGUGGCUCAUGGUAACGUAUGAAGACAUGUCGUCGUCUUGCUCGAGGAAGAGUGGGUUGGUAGAAGUACUUGUCCUAUCCAUCAUUCCAAGAAAAAUGUGAGUGGUAGAAGGAGAAGAACUUAUACCAAUGUACCUUUGAUCGAUGUUGAUGAUGAAUCAAGUUCACUCAAAUGCGGACAAUGAAAUAGCACUAUUGGUACCAAUCCUUGUCGGUUCUCACACCUACACAAAUAAAAGCUUAUGGUGGAGCUUGGUGAGGAUGGUGGGACAAAAUUUGAUGCAAUUGUAAGUGAGCAUCAAUAAUGUUGGAAAAGGUUCACAAAUUUGCAAAUGCAACAAGUAGACCAAGCAAAUAGUGGUACACAGAAACACACACGCAAAUAGAUAAUUGUGAUUGUGCAAACCAAAGUGAGCCAUAAUGUGGAAUCCACGAAAAUGCUCUUGUUGCACAAUACUAGAGAGACGCUAGCACGAUUGCACAAUAGGCGGAUACGGAACUUGUGCACAACCUACUAGGCAAAAAUGCAACUAUCUCUAUCCCACGUAUGCUAUAUGUAUGGUAUUUCGGUGCUAUGAUCCAAGAUGAUCCAAUAUGACAAUCUUAAUGUAGUAUGAUGCUAUGGUUCUUGCUAAUAAGCUCUUUGCUUAUCUUUCCUAUUUGCUUAAAAGCUUGUGUGGCUCUUUCACUUUGGAGCUCUUUUCUCAUGCAAAACUUCACAAACCAAGAUAGCAAUUGUGUAUGCUAUGACAACUUUGUGACACACAAAUGGAUCCCAAGAUAUGCACCACGGUGGUAUGGUAUGUAUGCUAUGGAGUUUGAUCACUAAUGUGCACAAGUCACGUUGCCGGCAAUACUCAAUGGCUAGUCUCGAUGGGUAAGCUACGCAAAAGUAAGGCCAUGUGGGUAUCAAUGCAAUUGCAAGGUAUGACAAAGAUAUCGACGAUGUUACCGUCCUUGGCGAUGAUGUGACCCUUGCAAAGAUGAGCCGUGACCAUGAUGAUGUCAAACCGUACCUUCAUAGCCGAAACACAAUAGGACACGGGAACCACAACUGAAAAUCUCAAGGACCAAAAUGGGGCAAAAUCAUCAUAGGAGGUAUUGGGGAGGGUGGUGGUGUAAGUGGUAUUGGAAGAUGUGGUGGAAGGUGGGGUGGUGGUGGUGGAUAAACUGAAGAAUUUCAGUUUCGUCAGGGUUGGACGGACGUCCGGAAAGUGCGGUCGUCCGGUCGUCGCACGUCCGACGGGGCUCGAAAAUCCGUGUAGUCGAAUCGAGACAGGGGCUCCGGUCGUUCGGAAAGGUCGGACGCCCGGUGAAUGAAAGUCAACGCAGGAUGAACUGGGUGAUUGUGAGGUGAAAGAAGGUGGUAAUGUCGAAAUUGAGCGGAUGGAUGGAUGGAAAAGGGUGGGGAGGGCGGGAAAAGCUAGAUCCACACGUAGAAACUCAAAUCCACGGACCAAAUCCAACAAAAUCUAACUCACCAACAAAUUACAAAAACAAUUAGGGCUAUUUUCGCUGGUGAUUUUCGAAAUUAGGAAGAAAACAACAAAAUCAAGCUAGAAAACAUGGGGUAGGGGCUCCAAAAACGUGAUCAACGUGGCUCAUGAUACCAAGAUGAUGUAGGGUGGAACCCUAAUCGGGGAUCUUUCACGUUUGGAGUGGAUCCUACGGGAAAAACAUGAUGAACAAGCGGAAGAACACAAGGAAAACACACAAGACGAACACGAAACCGACAAGUAUCGAUCACACAAGGGCUAGAUCGCCGAACACAUAAGGUAGCACAAGAUUCAAAAUCAACAAAGGAAAGAUACACGAGUUGUCGUUCUUCUCCGGGAGGAGGUCUUUAUGGGGUCCACCCUAGAAGGGGGUCUUGAAUCCUCUUGGGGGAUCUUCUCCGUAGAGGUCCUGAGCUCCGAGGAGAAGGUAACCAAGUGGAUGAGCAAAGCUCUCACACAAACAUGAGCUAAACUAUUGCUAACCCUAGAAAGGUGGGGAAGAAAGAGUAUAUAUAGUCUAGGGGGCGAAGGGGUACAAGGGCUGCGGCCCAACGAAGUCAACACACAGGCGUCGGACGUCCGGAGGUCACCGGUCAUCCGGAGGUUCGAGAGGGUCCGGACGUCCGACGGCCUUCGGACGUCCGUAGAUUCGGUUCGGGCGUGCAUCGGUCGGACGUCCGGUGGCUUCGGUUGUCCGUGCGUUUCCAUUCAGGUGCCCAGCUGCCGGACGUCCGGAGGGCGUCGGUCGUCCAUGGCCUGGGAGUCAUCGGACGUCCGGACUUGGUCGGACGUCCGAUGCCUGUAGCUUCAGCAGCAUCUCUUCUUCUUCUUCAACAUGCUUGGGGUCCUCGUCGUCUUGGCUCUUGCUAUUAGUUGUUCCUUGGCUCACCUCCAUGUACCUGAUUACACAUAGAGUUUCCGAAUGAGGUAGUAGCCAUGUCUCGUGAGUAGGAAGAGGGAGUUCAGAGAGGAGCGAGUUCACCUUAUCUUCGAUAGCCUUAGCUCGGGCUCGAGUCAUGGGUCCACGUGGUGUUGAGGGAGAUGUAGGUGCGUCCAUGGGGAUGAGUGAGGGAUGCUCCGCAUCAUUCCGUCCUAGCCCCGGAACUUCCGGGCUAUGCAGAAAGUUUACCCCAAAAAUCCCCCUGACCCCGGCACUUUUUCCGUGACCCCCGGAACUUCCGGCCCUAACCCCGGAACUUCCGGCCUAACCCGAAACAUUGCACAAAAUUUCAGCAUCAGCCUUCUUCACUGUUUUCAUCAUAACUUUUCACUCCGAACUCCGAUUUGAGUGUUCUUUGGCUCGUUUUGAAGCUAUCGACGUGCCCGAGGUCCUCACCUUGGUUUCACCACCUUUUGACACCAUCAAAGUUUUGGUACUUUGGCAUCUUUGCCUAGGGCUUCCACCAUAUCAUCCGCAAUACCACCAUAGCCAUCCGCAACCUAACCCAUUUUGUUCCCCACAACAUUUGAGGUUGUUUGAGUAGUGACUUGAGUCUCCUAAGGUGUUUAGGCUACUUAGGGACGGUUGAUCCUUCAUCAACCACCACCAUAACUUUCGCAUAGGCUUGCCCACCAUACACUUCCACCACCCCAACUUAACCCAAUUUUGUUGUGUUGAGAGUUGCGUCUCCUAAGGUGUUUCGGCUACUUAGGGAAGUGCUUUCAACUUUGACUCCGUGUAUAGACCAUCAUAUGUUUCCACCACCAUAACCUGGUCAACUUCAGCUACUCGGGUUUGCACCAAUACUUCCGCAACCACCACCGCAUUCCCACUACCACCAUUUGACUUUCGUCCUUGAGAUUUUGAGUUCGCGGUUUUUCCGUUUCCUAAGGUGUUUCGGCUACUUAGGGACGAGUCUCCAUCAUCUUGGUAUCUACAUCAAGAACACCGCCACUCAUCUUCGCCAUUGACGGUAACCUCUAUAUCAUCUUGUUAUAGUGGUAUCCCUCCAUUGUAUAUUCCCUUGCAAUUGCAUUGUUAACCCCUAGCCCAUUUUGCGUUACUUGCCUAUCGAGACUAGCCAUUUGAGUAUUGUCGGCAAUGUUACUUGUGCACAUUAGUGAUCAUACUUCUCAUAGCAUACAUACCAUAUCAUUGUGGUGCAUAUCUUGGUAUCAUAUCGUGUGUCACAAGUUUGUUCCCGUAUAUACACAAUUGCUAUCUUGGUUUGUGCAUUGUGCAAAAGUGGCCAUACAAAAAAAAGAGAAUAAGCUUUUGAGCAAAGAAAAAGAGAAAGAGCAAAGAAGCUUGUAAGCAAGUGCCAUAGCAUCAUACCACAUUGCAUAUACGAUUGUCAUAUCCGAUCAUCUUGGAUCAUCUUGAGAGAAACACCGGGAACCAUACAUACAUAGCAUACUUGGGAUAGAAAGUUUAUCCAUUUUGCAUCUUAUAGGUUGUGCACAAGUGUCGUAUCCGCCUAUUGAGCAAUUGUGCUAGCGUUUCUCUUGAGUUGUGCAACACGAGCAUUUUGGUGGAUUCCACAUUUUGAGCUCAUUCCUUGGUUGCACGGCCCAUUUAUCUAUCCGUGUGUGCGUUUUCGUGUGCCAUUCAUUGCUAUUGGUCUACUUGUUUCACUUGCGAAUUUGUGAAUCUCUUUCAACAUUAUUGACUCUUGCUAACAUUUUGCAUCAAAUUUUGUGCCACUAUCCUCACCGAGAUCCACCAUAAGCCUUAUUUGUGUAGGUGUGAGAAACCGACAAGAAUUGGUACCAAUUGUGCUAUUUCCUUGUUAGACAUUGCGUGAUCAUUGAUCCAUUUCAACAUCGGUCAAGGUACAUUUGGUAUAAGUUCUUCUCUUUCUCCCACUCAUAUUUGAUCGAGUCUUGUGAUGGAUAGGCAAGGCAUUUCAUCUCCAGCCUUCGACAACAAUGACGGCAUGAAUAACUAUAUCACCGAAGCGUCCAUCUUCGAUCUACAACGACAAAUGCAAGGCGCACAAUCAAGACUGCAAAAACGCAUCGAGAACCUCUCCAUCGAGAUUCAUCACUCCGAAGCAAGGAAAAGGGACUACAUCGACAACAAGCUUUCCGCACAAAAGGAGGAGCAAGAUGCAAGGAUGGAGGAGAUUCGAGCCUUGAUCAAGUCUACUUCCCCUUCAUCAUCCUCAAGGCGGCGACAUUCAAGACACAAGUCUUCGGAGCGCAGAAACGAUGCAAGUGCAAAUCGUCCUCGUCCACAUCUACAUGGCGAUCACCAUCACGUUCGUGAUCAACAUUGUCAUGAAGGGAAAGUCACCUCCAAGCAUCAUGUGCACGACGACGAACGCCAUCGAGCUCAAGUGCGACAACGACACCAUCAACAUGAAGAUGCUCCACAAGCGCAAACGUACAAGUCCGAACAAGCCCUACUUCACACCAAGUCCAAGCUUCAUGAGCAUAAGAGAAGACCACGAGACGAGCACCACCACGAGGGAGCUACGGCUACACCAACCACUUCGGCAUCUUCGCCAAGUGCUAUGAAGGCAUCUUCGCCUUUGGACGUACGGCAUCUUCGCCUACUUCCCGUGAGUUCGCCUACAUCGACAUCUUCAACAACAAGGCGACCACCUACGCGCGAGGGCGACACUUCCAUAUUCGGAAGCCCCUCAAGGAAGAUGGCCGAGCAUGGGAAAUUCCCUUCGGUCAUGGAGACGAGCUACGAGGUGCCACAUCAUAUGGGCCUCAUACAAGACGGCGACAAGAAGGUUGAGCAUGGGACUAUCCCUUCAACCAAGACGGUGAUAGGAAUUGAGCAUGGAGACAUUUGCACCUACAUCUCUCUGACACCCACAUAUGUCGAGAUGCCCCAAGUGCCAUGUGAGGAGAGCCACCACCACAUGAGUGACAUGAGUGACUCCACCAUAUGUGACAUUGAGAGCAUUUCCUAUGAGAGGAUGAGUGUGACCACCACUAGCCCCACACAUGAGAGCAUGCGACACAUCCUAUGUGAGGUUGAGAGCCAUUUGAGUGACUCCACCAACCAUAUGAGUGAGAGCAUCCUUGAGGGAGUGAGUGAGCCACAACACUUAGUGGGUGAGGUAAUUGACACGGCAUGUGAGGCCACUAUGAUUCCUAACGACUUAACCUCUACUCCUAGUGUGUUUUCUUCUUUGGUGCUAGGUCUCCUACAUGACGACAUGCCUAUCCUCGACGAGUCCAUCCCUCCAAAGGGAAAACCGAUGGCCAAGGUGGACGAUGAUGCACACCCCACAUGGUACCAUCAAGAUGAAGAUGACAACGAUUGGAUCUUCGACACCUCACUUACAACACAUGAGCGAUGCCUUGACUCUCUUGUCCCACUAGUGGACUCUCUUGACAUCGAUUGCUCCCAUGAUGUUGACCCACCUAUUACCAUGCUUCAUGAUAGUGAAACUUCUUCAUGCCUUGACUUACCUAUUUAUGAUGAAUAUGAUGAUGAGCGUGUUGAGUUGCCUAGUUGUGAUGCUAUGCUCCAUAGGACAUCUUGUGAAAAUUCUUUUUGUCACAUCAUGUUUGACAAUCCAUUGAACUUGUCAUAUGCUAUGGGUGAGAUCUCCCAUAUUGCAUCAUUUCAAUCUCAACAUAGUAACUAUGCAUGCCCCAUUAAAAUCAAUCCCAUUUGCACUUAUGGCAUAGAUGACGAGAUGAUGGUCAUUGGCUUUUGUUUCUCUUGUGAUGAUAUUGCCAUGCUUCCUUUACAUGAUUUGCGCAAUUCAUCUACUAUGUCAUGCCAUGAUCACAUUGUUCCGAAUAUGCAUUGUUUUGGAUGUUGUCAAUAUUCUCCACGUGAUGUUUCUACUCUUGCUCAUGAGGAGACCCCCAUAGUUUCCUCAUACAUAUUAGGAAAUUUGGAUGCAUCUCAUACUUUGCAUGAUUCCCAUAAUUGUGUGAACCAUAUGCAUUCCAUGAAUAAUAAUGCUCUAGAUAUUUCCCAUGAUGCAUUACACAAUUUGAGUCUCCAUUAUGCUAUACAUAACAACAAACCUAUCAUGAUGGAUGACAUGUUUCUAUAUCACGCAUCUCAUUUAUUUGAGCAUUGGCUAUUUUGUACUAACCGACACAUGCAUGUGCGCAUCAUGAUGGAUGAUGUGUACAUCUACCAUGAAUACACAAUUUUCCCUUUGUCUUUGUUUUGUGUAGGUACCCACAUACACUCGUCAACUUCUCAAUCCCAUGAGUUGACGAAACGAGCUCUUGAGAGCAACGAUGACUUGGGAUCCCGUGGACUAUCAUUCCCACCAUUCCAUUUGCGCAAGGACUACACGCAUCUCUUUUACUUGUCUCUCACAUGGCUAUGGGCUAUUUACCAAUUGUCACAUUAUGCUCAUUUUCCCGUGUUCACUUUGCAUGUUAUUUUUGCUUCUAUGCCUUUGCCAUGCAAUUGUGACCCUUGCUUGCAUUUACCCAUGAUUCACAAUUAUGCUACUUCUAUGUGUAUUUGCAUGCUUGGUGGAGAUCCUUGUUGCUAUUGCCAUGUUUAUCAUGUGCCCCAUGCUAUUGAUGCUUGUUUUGUUGGGAGAGUCAUGAUGACCCAUUGCUAUUUACACAUGGCUUCUCACCAAUACAUUCAUGCUAUUCUACUCAUACAUUGCUUUCAUGCUUGUGCUAUGACAUGUGAAUUAUUCAUGCCCACUAUUUGCACACAUGACAUGCUUGCCAUGAUUUCUUCUAGUAUGUUGCAUCUUCGCACUACUAGCUUGCUUGACUUGAUCGCUAUGAUUGCUUGCUAUGUUGCAUCACCCAUGUUCCACUAUUACUUGCUUUCUUGGAUUGAUGACAUAUAUGUUCAUGCCUCUCACAUGAUAUAUCGUGAUCUUUAUCUCUUGUCUCCAUUAGUUGCACCUCUCAUAUGCCAUUGUAGUGAGUGCAUCCAUGCUAUGCUUAUUCAUCUUGGAGACUUGGACAUAUUACUUGUGAUGCAUGCUUGUUUACUUGAGCCUAUUGUAUUUGGUUGAUAUCGCAUCAUAUGCCUCCAUACUAUGAAAUGCUCCCUUGUCCUUUCUUAUGAUGAGCAUGAUACAUACACUUGUUGGGUCUCUUACCACACAAAUGAUAGGUUUUGCACUUCCGCUAACCUCAUUUGUUUUUCCGAGUGUUUGUCAUGUUCUUUCAUUUUGAAGGGUUCACAAGGCAGUACCUUCAUGAGACAUAUUGGUUAUGUGAAGGCAUACAAGAUGUGCAACUCCAACAUCUUUGACAUCCUCAUAAAGGUGAACUCCUUCCCUUUGAGCCAUCCUCACAUAUGCAUAUUGGAUGGGUCAUUCUUUCAUUGUUGUUUCCUUCUUGUUGUCUACAUGAUACAUCUCGCGACCGGAGGAGCGACAUUGAAGAUGGACCCUUUGUACCUUCAAGUUGAGGAGCGCUCGGACUUCUUGGAUGCACCUUCGAACCUCCACUCAUGCCACGACAUCGAGCAUUGGUACAUCGACACUCCUUUGACACAUUGCACCAACACAUACAUAUUUGUUGAUUGUGCUUCCUCAUGUCAUGCUCGAUGGACAUAUCAUACUCACCACAAGUUUGCACCCUAUGCAUGGAUUGACACCGAUUAUGCUUGUCUUGUUACACCUAUUUCCAUGUCAUCCAUGAUAUACGAGCUUGUGCAUUUCCUUAGAAAAUUUCUCGUGAUCUUUCUUGAUGGCAUACUCAUACAUCGUGAUCUUAUUGCCUACCAUCAAUUGCAUGAUAACAUACUCAUAUUGAGCAUCCAUUGCCAUAUUCAUGCUAUUGAUAAACCGUCUCACUAUGACAUCAUUUUGCACCGUGGUUGCAUUGAUCACUUUCACAAUACAUUUGUGUGCACAAUAAAUGCUUUUGCUCCCAUGAUGCAUAUCAUUCUAUAUCAUCUUGAUAAGCUUCAUGUGCUUUGUCACGAACAAUCUUGUUGCACGAACUUUGUGUGCGCUAACCAUUGUAUUUCCAAGUGUACUUUGUGUUUGCUCAUUUUGCAUGUACCACAUACCGGAGACACCUUGGAGUACUUGGAAUGCGCAAUGUCUUCAACUUCGUCCAACUACAAGUUCGUCCACGACAACCAUUUCCAUGGUGGUGACGAUCACGAUCCGAGGUCGGAUCUUUCCCAAGGGAGGGGAGAUGAUGCGGAGCAUCCCACGUUCAUCCCCAUGUACACUCCGACUACUCUCCAAGCACCAAGAGGACAUAUGACGAGACCUCGACCAUACGCCAUUGGACACAAGGUGAACUCACUCCUCUUCGAACCGUCACAUUCCUCAUGUGAGACAUGGCUACUACCUCAUGCAUGGACCUUGCAUACACUCAGGUACAACCGAGACGACCAUGGAGGAUCCAAGGACCAAGGCCAAGCAUGGAAGAGGAGAAGGAAGAAGAAGCAGGAACAAGCUUAUGGAAAGCCUGGAACUUCCGGCCUCUGCCUGGAACUUCCGGCCCGCGGACCUUCUGGCCUGCCCGGAACCUUCGGCGCCCGGAGUCCAGGCCAGCCCCGAGCGCGCCAACUCUCUGGAUAGCCCGGAACCCGGCCAGAACCUGCCCGGAACGUCCGGCCUGCCUGCAUGCAAAGACUCGGGCCGAAGCCCAUGUAUCCCUUUCCCACUUACCUCUUCGUGGCUUAUACUAUAAAUAGACCACCCCCUCCUCCUAGUUAGGGUUAGCAAUGGUUUAGCUCAUAUUUUGUGUGAGAGCCUUGCUCAUCCACUUGGUUACUUCUUCUCGGAGCUCACGACCUCUUCGGAGAAGAUCCCCCAAGCGGAUUCAAGACCCCUUCAAGGGAAGACAAUCAAGACCUCCUCACGGAGAAGAAUCGGUUACCUCUUGUAUCAUCCUUUGUUGAUCGUGGAUCGUGUAUCUCUCUUUGUGUUCAUCGAUCUAGCGCAUGUGUAAUCGAAUCUUGUUGGCUUGAGUGAUUCUCUUGUGUUUUCCCCCAUGAUUUCCCUCGUGCUCUUCCACUCGUUCUUCGUGUUCCUCGUAGGGAUCCUCUCCAAACAUGAAAGAUCGUCCACAUAGGGUUCCGCCCUACAUCAACCUCACAUCGCAACUGGGUCAUCUCAUGAUAUGUGGGUGUCGGGGAGAUGUUGGUGCAAAUGUCUCCAUGCUCAACUCCUAUCACCGUGGUCGAAGGGGAUGGCCCUUGCUCGACCUUCUUGUCGCCGUCUUGGUGUGGUAGGCCCAUAUGAUGUGGCACCUCGUAGCUUGUCUCCAUGACCGAAGGGAAUGUCCCAUGCUCGGCCAUCUUCCUUGAGGGGCUUCCGAAGAUGGAAGUGUCACCCUCGCUCGUAGGUGGUCGCCUUGGACUUGAUGAAGUCGAUGUAGGUGUACACGUGGGAAGUAGGCGAAGAUGCCGUACGUCCAAAGGCGAAGAUGCCUUGAUAGCACUUGGCGAAGAUGCCGAAGUGGUGGUGGUAGCCGUAGAGCCAUCUUGGUGGUGGUCAUCUCGAGGUCUUCUUUUGUGCUCAUGAAGCUUCGACUUGGCAUGAAGUAGGGCUUGUUGGGACUUGUGCACUUGCGCUUGUGGAGCAUCUUCAUGAUGAUGAUGUCGUUGUCAUGCUUGAGCUCGUAGUAGAUGUCGUUCAUCAUCGUCGUGCACAUGAUGCUUGGAGGUGACUUGCCCUUCAUGACGAUGUGGAUCACGAACGUGAUGGUGGUCGCCAUGGAGAUGUGGACGUGGACGACUUGCACUUGCAUCGUUUCCACGCUCCGAAGACUUGUGUCUUGAAUGUCGCCGCCUCGAGGAUGACGAAGGGGAAGAAGACUUGAUCAAGGCUCUAAUCUCCUCCAUCCUUGCAUCUUGCUUCUCUUUAUGUGCGGAAAGCUUCUUGUCAAUGUAGUCCCUUUUCCUUGCUUCAGAGAGAUGAAUGUCGAUGGAGAGGUUCUCGAUGCGCUCUUGCAAGGUAGAUUGUGCUCCUUGCAUUUCGUGUUGUAGUUCGAAGAUGGACAUUUUGGUGAUGUAGUUGUUCACGUCGUCAUUGUUGUCGAAAACCAGAAAUGAAAUGCCUUGCCUAUCCAUCGCAAAACUCGAGCAAAUAUGAGUGGAAGAAAGAGAAGAACUUAUACAAAAUGUACCUUGACCGAUGUUGAAAACGGAUCAAUGAUCACUCAAUGAUGUAACAAGGAAAUAGCACAAUUGGUACCAAUUCUUGUCGGUUUCUCACACCUACACAAGUAAGGCUUAUGGUGGAGCUCGGUGAGGAUAGUGGCACAAAAAUUUGAUGCAAAAUGUUAGCAAGAGUCAAUAAUGUUGAAAGAUAUUCACAAAUUCGCAAGACAAACAAGUAGACCAAUAGCAAAGAAUGGCACACGGAAACACACACAUGGAUAGAUAAAUGGGAUCGUGCAACCAAGGAAUGAGCUCAAAAUGUGGAAUCCACCAAAACGCUCGUGUUGCACAACUCAAGAGAGACGCUAGCACGAUUGCUCAAUAGGCGGAUACGACACUUGUGCACAACCUAUAAGAUGCAAAAUGGAUAAACUUUCUAUCCCAAGUAUGCUAUAUGUGUAUGGUUCCCGAUGUUUGAUCCAAGAUGAUCGGAUAUGACAAUCUUAUAUGCAAUGUGGUAUGAUGCUAUGGCACUUUCUUACAAGCUUCUUUGCUCUUUUCCUUUUGCUUUGCUUAAAAGCUUAUUCUUCUUUUCUUUUUCUAUGGCCACUUUUGCACAAUGCACAAACCAAGAUAGCAAUUGUGUAUAUGCGGGAACAAACUUGUGACACAAGAUAUGGUAGCAAUAUAUGCACCACGAUGAUAUGGUAUGUAUGCUAUGGAAGUAUGAUCACUAAUGUGCACAAGUAACGUUGCCGGCAAUACUCAAAUGGCUAGUCUCGAUAGGCAAGUAACGCAAAACGGGCUAGGGGUUAACAAUGCAAUGUCAAGGGGAAUAUACAAUGGAGGGAUACCACGAUACCAAGAUGAUAUGGAGGUUACCGUCCGACGAUGAUGAGUGGCGGUGUUCUUGAUGUAGAAACCAAGAUGAUGUAGUCUCGUCCCUAAGUAGCCGAAACACCUUAGGAUACGGAAAAACCGCGAACUCAAAAUCUCAAACGUCAAAUGUCAAAAUGGUGGUAGCGGAAAGUGGUGGUAGUGUGCACUUGGCAAUGCGGAAGUGGAAUGAUGGGCUAUACACGGUGUCGGAGUUGGUAGCAUGGUCCCUAAAUAGCCGAAACACCUUAGGAGACACAAGUCACUACUCAAACGACCUCAAAUGCUAUGGUGAACAAAAAGGGUUGACUUGCGGAAGGCUAUGGUGGUAUUGCGGAUGAUGUGGUGGAAGCCCUAGGGAAAGAUGCCAAAGUUCCAAAAUUUGAUGGUGUCAAAAGGUGGUGAAACCAAGGUGAGGACCUCGGGCACGUCGAUAGCUUCAAAAUGAGCCAACGAACACUCAAAUAGGAGUUCGGAUGCGAAAGUUAUGGGCAAAACGGUGAAACUCGGAACGCUGAAACUGGGUUGGGCGGUAGUACCGCUUGGGAGGGCGGUAGUAUCGCUUGUGGCGCUCAAGCGGUAGUACCUCUACGGGGCGGUAGUACCGCUGGUGUCGGGAUUUUUCGUAGAUCGAAUCGGGGUGCGAUUUUGGGGCGGAAAUGGAUGAUUUCGGGGUCAAAAUUGGAUGGAUUUUGUGGAGGAAAGAUGGGGAAACUUGGGGAGAUGCUAGAUCCACUUGAAACCAAGCAAAUCCAUGGAUCAAAAUCAACAAAACAUCAUCAAAACCAACAAAUCACAAAAAAAAAUUGGGGGCUAUUUUUGGUGGGGAUUUUCGGAUUUAGGACGAAAAAAACAAAAUCAAGCUAGAAAACACGGGGUAGGGGCUCCAAAAACGUGAUCAACGUGGCUCAUGAUACCAAGAUGAUGUAGGGCGGAACCCUAUGUGGACGAUCUUUCACGUUUGGAGAGGAUCCCUACGAGGAACACGAAGAACGAGCGGAAGAGCACGAGGAAAAUCACAGGGGAAAACAGAAGAGAAUCACUCAAACCAACAAGAUUCGAUUACACAUGCGCUAGAUCGAUGAACACAAAGAGAGAUACACGAUCCAUGAUCAACAAAGGACGAUACAAGAGGUAACCGGGUUCUUCUCCGUGAGGAGGUCUUGAUUGUCUUCCCUUGAAGGGGUCUUGAAUCCGCUUGGGGGAUCUUCUCCGAAGAGGUCCUGAGCUCCGAGGAGAAGUAACCAAGUGGAUGAGCAAGGCCCACACACAAAAUAUGAGCUAAACCAUUGCUAACCCUAACUAGGAGGAGGUGGAGGAGUAUAUAUAGUCUAGAGCCACGAAGAGGUAAGUGAGGGCAAAGGGGUACAUGGGCUCGGCCCAAUACACUGUGCACAGACAGGGCGGAAGUACCGGUCCUUUGGGCGGUAGUACCGCUUGAGGCGCGCAAGCGGUAGUACCGCUAUGAUGGGCGGUAGUACCGCUCUGGAGCCGUUCGAUCUCCGAAGUUUGUCGGACUUUGUGGAAGUGGAGCAGAUGUAGAGCGGUAGUGCCGCUUGUGAUGAUAAGCGGUAGUACCGCUGGGCCUGGGCGGUAGUACCGCUUGGUCCCGGCUUCUUCUUCCUUCUCCUCUUCCAUGCUUGGCCAUGGUCCUUGGAUCCUCCAUGGUCGUCUCGGUUGUACCUUAGUGUAUGCAAGGUCAAUGCAUGAGGUAGUAGCCAUGUCUCACAUGUGGAAAGUGAUGGUUCAAAGAGGAGUGAGUUCACCAUGUGCCUUAAGGCAUAUGGUCGAGGUCUCGUCAUAUGUCCUCUUGGGGCUUGGAGAGUAGUCGUAGUGUACAUGGGGAUGAUCGUAGGAUGCUUCGCAUCAGGUGGUUCACCUCUUGCCGCUCGGCGCUCAAUGAUUUGUUCGCACCAAAUGAGGACGUAGUCUUGGAAUUCGAGGGAUGCCAUUGCAAUCUUCUUCUCUUCUUCAUAGUUGUGCAAGCGGAAGAUUUUGUCAACCUUCAAUGCCCAUGAGAUGUACUCUUCGGGGUCGUUGCUACCUGUGAACUUGGGCAUGGUGAACUUUAGCUUGCCGUAUCAUUGCUCUUCAUUGUGUUGGGGUCGGGGAUGAUGACGCCCAUGUCGUUGAGGAUUGACGAUCUCAUGCUGCUCUUGGCGAGGAGGGUUGUCAUCCUCAUGUUGCUCUUGGCGAGGACGGUUGUCAUCCUCAUGUUGCUCUCGAUUGACUUGACGUUCUUGUCUCGCUUGAGUAGGAGCUUGUCGAUCUUGGCGAGGAGCUUGUCAAUGCACACGUGCUUGGUAAAUCCUUUCUUGAGCUUCAUCGCGAAGUGCUUCUUGAUGUUGUCGAGCUUGUCAGCCUCGAUUGGCUACGGCACGGCUUGAGUCACGAAGGGCACGUUGCGCCUCAAGUGCUUGAGCUUCACGGAGUUGUUUUUGCUGGUGUUCCACCUCGGCGUCUUGUGCAUCUUGAUGUUGUCGCGCUCUCUCCUCUUGUUCUUGUUGUCGUUUGUGUUGCCGUUCUUGUGCUUGCGCGAAUGCAGCUUGGGUUUGACGAUGUCGAUGCUCUUGAGAGUCGGUGUCGUGUAGAGGAUUGUGGUUAGCUUGAUGGUCUUGGCGCGCGGCACGACGAAGAGUAUUCGAUGUCGGUGUACUUGAGCCGGAGAUGGUGUCGUCAGAGUGUCUACUUGAGCGGCUCCUUCUUGACUAGGACGAAGUGGUAGAAGAGUGGUUGAUCAACAAGGCACGAAGCUCAUCCAUUCUUGCAUCAUUCUCGUGCUUGUGCUUGUCGAGUUUGUUGUCGAAGAGACGCAAGUCAGUGGAGAGGUUGUCGAUGCGGUCGCCCGAAGCGAGUUGUUCUUGAUGUAAAGCUCGGUGUGCACCAAAUAGUUGAGUCUUGGUGACGUAGGAUGACAUGUCUUCGUCUUUCUCCAGGAAGAGUGGGUUGGUAGAAGUACUUGGCCUAUCCAUCAUUUCAAACAAAGAUAUGUGAGUGGGAGACAAAGAAGAACCAAUACCAAAUAUACCUUGACCGAAGUUGAAAAUGAUCAAAGAUCGCUCCAAUGUGUAGCAAGGAAAUAGCACAAUUGGUACCAAUUAUUGUCGGUCCUCACACCUACACAAGUAAAAGCUUAUGGUGGAGCUUGGUUAGGAGAGUGGCACAAUAUUUGAUGUGAAUGUAAGCAAGAUUCAAUAAUGUUGGGGAAGAUACGCGACUUGUAAAUGUUACAAGUAGACCAAUAGCAAGAUAUGGUACACGGAAACACAACACACGGAAAGAUAAAUGGGGCCGUGCAACCAAGGGUGAGCCAAAAUGUGGAAUCCACGAAAAUGCUCUUGUUGCACAACACUAGAGAGACGCUAGCACGAUUGCACAAUAGGCGGAUACGAACUUGUGCACAACCUACGAAGCAAAAAUGCAACGACUUCUAUCCCAAGUAUGCUCUAUGUAUGAUGUUCCGGAUAUAUGAUCCAAGAUGAUCGAGUAUGACAAUAUUAAUGUUGUAUGAUGCUAUGGUUCUUGCUUAUAAGCUCUUUGCUUAUCCUUCUCUUUUGCUUAAAAGCUUGUUUGGCUCUUUGUUGUUUGAGCUCUUUUCUCAUGCGAUGUUUCAUGAACCAAGAUAGCAAUUGUGUAUGCAAUGAAAACUUCGUGACGCAAGAGAUGAUUCGAAGAUAUGCAACAUGAUGAUAGUAUGUAUGCUAUGGGAUGUACGAUCACUAAUGUGCACAAGUCAUGUUGCCGGCAAUACUCAAAGGCUAGUCUCGAUGGGUAAGCUACGCAAUACUCCUUUUGUUUGGGGAACUUUGCAAUCAACCGCUUUUGAUGAGCUCAAGUCUUUGCUUACCCAAGCUCUGAUUCUUGCUUUGCCCAAUUUUGACAAAACUUUUGAGGUUCAUUGCGAUGCAAGCGGUACCGGAAUUGGCGGAAUUUUGAUGCAAGAAAAACGAGCAAUUGCAUAUUUUAGUGAAAGACUCUCCGGUGCUCAACUUAACUAUCCCAUAUAUGACAAAGAAUUGUAUGCUUUAGUGUGUGUGCUACAUGUUUGGGAACAUUAUCUUAGACCUCAUGAGUUUGUCAUCCAUACCGAUCAUGAAACGCUAAAGUACUUAAAAGGCCAAACUAAGUUGAACAAGCGUCAUGCCAAAUGGAGUGAAUCUAUUGAAUCUUUUCCCUAUGUGAUCAAGUACAUUAAGGGUAAAGAAAAUGCAGUUGCCGAUGCACUUUCACGCAUAUGCAUGCUUGUCACUAAACUUGAGUUGAAUGUUAUUGGCUUUGAGCACAUAAAAGACUUGUAUGCUAAUGAUUCAUCUUUUGCUAUUCCUUAUGCUAAGUGUUUGUCGCAUACUUCUUGGGAACAAUAUUACAUCAAGGAUGGUUAUCUUAUGAGAGCUAACAAACUUUGCAUUCCCGAGUCUUCUCUUCGUUUGCUCCUUUUGUAAGAGGCUCAUGGAGGCGGACACAUGGGACACUUUGGACGCGACAAGAAAUUCGCCAUGCUCUCCAAGAACUACUUUUGGCCCAAGAUGUUCCAUGAUGUCUCACGCUUCACCACCCGAUGCUCUACAUGUCGCAAAGCUAAGUCUAAAGCUCAAUCACAUGGUCUUUACAUGCCUCUUCCUAUUCCUUAUCAACCUUGGGAAGAGAUUAGCAUGGAUUUUGUACUUGGUUUGCCUAGAACUCAAAAUGGAAAGGAUUCCGUGUUUGUUGUUGUGGAUAGAUUUUCUAAGAUGGCACAUUUCAUUCCUUGCAACAAGAUAGACGACGCUUCACAUGUUGCAAAUCUAUUUUGUAGGGAAAUCUUAUGCCUCCAUGGAGUACCAAAGACAAUCGUCUCCGAUCGUGACGUCAAGUUCUUGAGUUACUUUUGGAAGACCCUUUGCGCCAAGCUCAGAAUCAAGCUCUUGUUCUCAUCCGCAUACCAUCCUCAAACCGACGGCCAAACGGAGGUGACGAACCGGACUCUCUCCACUCUACUUCGCAUAUUGAUCAAGAAGAACAUCAAGGAGUGGGAGGCAUGUCUACCCAUCGCCGAGUACGCCUACAAUCGCGCAAGACACUCGACUACCGGCAAGUCCCCCUUCGAGGUCGUCUACGGCUUCAACCCGUUGUCCCCAUUGGACAUUCUACCACUUCCUCUCCAAGAGCGCACCAACAUGGAUGCGAGUGCACGAGCAACCUACAUCAAGAAGAUGCAUGAAGAUACAAGGAACGCCAUCGAGCGCCAAGUACAACGACUAGCAAGCAAGCUCAACGUCAACAAGCAACCCAUGACCUUCAACAUAGGCGAUCUCGUGUGGCUACACCUUCGCAAGGACCGCUUCCCCAACAAACGCAAGUCCAAACUUCUCCCUCGAGCCGAUGGACCAUUCAAGGUGCUAGCACGCUACAACAACAACGCCUACAAGAUUGAACUCCCAUGAGACAAGUACAACAUGAGCGGCAUCUUCAACAUCAAAGACCUCUCGCCUUUCCACGGUGAUGAAGAUUUUGAUCCGAGGUCGGAUCUUUCCCAAGGGAAAGGAGAUGAUGCGGACCAUCCUUCCAUCAUCCAUAUGGACUCUACAUCGACACAUCCAACCCCACGAGGACCCAUGACUAGAGCCCAAGCACGUGCCAUCCAAUCCGAGGUUCAGUCUCUCCUUGUUGAACUUCCCUUUAACCCAUUUGAGACAUGGCUACUCCCUCAAGCGGAGACACUUUGCGUGCUCAGGUACCAUGUAAACAACCAAGGAGAAGGAGUGGUGCAAGACGGACAUCAAGAUCAAGGAGGCAUUCUUCCUAACCUUGAAAGACCGGUACAACCGCCCAACAACCGCCCGAGCGGAACAACCGGCCCACUACCGCUCAACAACCGGCCACCAUUCUGUGAUCAGGCGGUGCAAGGCCGGUACAGCACAAGAUGUACCGGUAAAUCUCAAAUGAGCAGAACUACCGACCCAACGACCGGUACAAUCGCUGGAGCCCUCGACGACCAUCCGCAGAAGCCAGCGCCUGACCCCAGCGGUAGUACCCUUCCUCGACCGAUACUUCUGCCCUCCCUGAGUCGCCAGCGGUACAACCGCCUCCUCGACCGGUACAACCCGCCUGUCUACGCAUAGUGUACGGGCCUGAGGCCCAUGUACCCUUCACUUCGCCUCCAUUUGCACUAAGACUAUAAAUAGACCCCCUCCACCUCCUAGUUAGGGUUAGCAUUGGUUUAGCUCAUAUCUCGUGUGAGAGCCCUUGCUCAUCCACUUGGUUACCAUCUCCUCGGAGAUCGCGCCUCCUCGGAGAAGAUCCUUCCAAGGGAUUCAAGACCCCCUCUAGGGUGGACCCCAUCAAGACCUCCUCACGGAGAAGAACGACUACUCGUGUAUCUUUCCUUUGUUGAUUUUGAAUCUUGUGCUACCUUAUGUGUUCGGUGAUCUAGCCCUUGUGUGAUCGAUACUUGUCGGUUUAGUGUCUUGUGUGUUUUCCAUGUGUUCUUCCGCUCGUUCGUCGUGUUCUCCUCGUAGGAUCCCCUCCAAACGUGAAAGAUCUCCGCAUAGGGUUCCGCCCUACAUCACCAAGCCGCUUUUGCCCAUGCUCAAGAACGACAAUGACUACGACGCCAAGAGGAAGAACGAGCGCGUCUACACCAAGAAGAACAAGACGCCGAGGCACAACAUCUUCAACAACAACAAUGAGAAGCGCAAGCUCUUGAGGCGCAACGUGCCCUUCAAGAAUCACGUCGAGCCAUCGCCAACCGCAAUCGCGAACGGCGCAAUCAAGAAGAAGCCCUUCGAGAAGAAAUACAAGAGAGGAACUAUCAGCCGCGCGUGCAACGUCAAGUUCCUCAAGCUCCUCAAGCGCCACCUCAACCUCAAGUUCAACAAGAGCAAGUUGAUCAUGGACUUCCUCCACGCGAAGAGCAACAGGAAGAUGAUUGUCAUCCACGUCAAGGGCAUCAUCAUCACCAUCACCAGCAACACAAUGAAGAGCACCGAUAUGGAAAGCUCAAAUUCACCAUGCCCAAGUUCAAUGGAAGCAAUGACCCCGAAGAAUAUCUCUCAUGGGCAUUGAAGGUCGACAAAAUCUUUCGUUUUCACAACUAUGAGGAAGAGAAGAAAAUCGCCAUGGCAUCACUUGAGUUCCAAGACUAUGUGCUCAUAUGGUGGGAAAAACUCCUUGAGAGGCGACAAGCAAGAGGUGAACCCCCAAUCACCACUUGGGCUCAAAUGAAGGAUGUGAUGCGAGCACGUUUUUUGCCAACCUACUACAACCAUGACCUCUUCAAGAAACUCCAACUCCUCAAGCAAGGAACAAAGAGUGUUGAAGAAUACUACAAGGAAAUGGAGAUAGCAAUGAUUCGAGCCAAUGUGAAGGAAGAUGAUGAGCAAACUAUGGCACGCUUCUCGAAUGGACUCAAUCAUCCCAUCAAGAAGAUCGCCGACUUCCAACCAUACACCACCCUCAUUGAGCUCGUGCAUCAAGCUACAAAGGCGGAACGUCAAGUGCAAGAUGACUUCAAGUACGCCAAGUACUCGUCCAAGACCUAUGGCUUCUCCAACAACCAAGCCUCAACACCUCCUCCAAAAUCUACAUCAACCAAACCUUCUCCAAACAACGACGACAAGCCAAGUUACAAGAAAAAUUCGACAAGUUCAAGUCGUCCUCCUCCUACUACAAGCAACUUCAAGCCGCGUGCUUCGUCAUCUACUCCGACCGAUGAGACCGUCAAGACAAGCUCAUUCAAGUGUUUCACUUGCGGCGGCCGAGGCCACAAGUCUUACGAAUGCACCAACAAGCGCACCAUGAUCCUCAAGGACGACGGCACCUAUGACUCAAUGAGUGAUGAGGAAAUGGAAGCUCUUGAGCAAGUGGCCAUGCACCGGCAAGUGAACGAAGAUGAAGAUGAUCAAGUCUUUUGUGAUGAGGAUUCGAGCCCCGCUCUCGUUGUUUCCAAGGUCUUGACUCUUCACCAUCAACAAGAAGACGACCAAAGAUGCCACAUCUUCCACACAAAGGCCGGCAUCAAUGGACGGUCCGUCAAGGUCAUCAUCAAUGGAGGUAGUUGCCACAACUUGGCAAGUGAAGAACUAUGCUCCAAGCUUCAAUUAGUCAAGAGGAAACACCCACACCCCUACAAGUUUCAAUGGCUAAGUGACUCUGGCACUAUACGAGUUGAGCAUACGGUCCAAAUCUCCUUCAAAAUUGGUGCAUAUGAGGACACUUUGGAGUGUGAUGUGGUCCCAAUGACCAUUUUCCACCUUCUUCUUGGUCGACCAUGCCAAUUCGACCGUGGUGUCUUCCACAACGGGCGUACCAAUCACUGUAGCUUCAAGAUGAGAGGGAAGGAAUACGUGCUACGACCUAUGUCUCCUAGUCAAGUGUUAGGCGACAAGUAAGCCACCCAUCAUGGAGAGAAGAGUGAGAAAGUGAUCCACCAACAAGUGAGUGAGAGCCACAAGCCAAAUUUGAGCGACUCUUCGCCUAGAGAGAAAAACCUCGUCCUAUUUUCCACAAAAAGUGAGACGAGAGAAGUGUGUGAGAACCCAUCUAGUGUGAUGCACUUUGUCCUUGUGUGCAAGGAUGGAGAGCCAACAACUAACACCACUCACGAGCUACCUUUAGUGUUUCAAUCUAUUUUGCAGGAAUUCCAAGAUGUUUUCCCGACGAGCUACCUCCGGUUCUACCUCCCCUUCGGGGCAUUGAGCAUCGAAUCAACCUCAUCCCGGAGCGCCUCUACCAAACAAAUCCAUACCGAGUCAAUCCCGAAGAAACCAAGGAGAUUCAACGGCAAUUACAACAACUCAUCGACAAUGGUCAUGUACGUGAAAGCCUAAGCCCUUGUGCCGUUCCCGUUAUACUUGUGCCUAAGCCCGAUGGAAGUUUUUUCUUGUGUUCCGAUGGUAGACCUAUAAAUGCUACUACCGUUCGCUAUAGGCAUCCCAUUCCUCGCUUAGAUGAUUUGCUUGAUGAACUUAGUGGAGCCAAAUUUUUCUCAAAAAUUGAUCUUAAAAGUGGCUAAUAUCAAAUCCGCAUACAAGAGGGUGAUGAAUGGAGAACUGCUUUCAAAAUCAAAUUUGGUUUAUAUGAGUGGUUAGUCAUGCCAAUGGGUUUAUUGGAAGCUCCCGGUACUUUUUUGCGUCUCAUGCAUUAUGUGCUUCGGCCUUAUAUUGGAGUCUUUGUUGUGGUUUACUUCGACGAUAUUCUUGUGUUUAGCAAAACCAUGAAAGACCAUCUUGAUCAUGUUAGGGCUGUUUUGCAAACCCUUCGCAAGGAAAGUCUUUAUGCAAACAUGAAAAAUGCACAUUUGGUGUUGACAAAGUGGUUUUCUUGGGUUUUUUUGUAUCCUCAAAGGUUGUCCAUGUUGAUGAAUCUAAAAUUGAAGCAAUUAAAACGGCCCCAACCCACCAAUUUCCAACAAGUGCGUAGCUUUCUUGGUCUUGCGGGUUUUUAUCGUCGCUUUGUGAAAGAUUUUAGCACCAUUGCCGCUUGUUUGCAUGCUUUGAGUAAGAAGAAUACUCCUUUUGUUUGGGGAACUUCACAAUCCACCGCUUUUGAUGAGCUCAAGUCUUUGCUUACUCAUGCUCCGAUUCUUGCUUUGCCCAAUUUUGACAAAACUUUUGAGGUUCAUUGUGAUGCAAGUGGUACCAGAAUUGGCGGAGUUUUGAUGCAAGAAAAACGAGCCAUUGCAUAUUUUAGUGAAAAAAUCUCCGGUGCUCAACUUAACUAUCCCAUCUAUGACAAAGAAUUGUAUGCUUUAGUGCGUCUGCUACAUGUUUUGGAACAUUACCUUAGACCGCAUGAGUUUGUCAUCCAUACCGAUCAUGAAACACUUAAGUACCUAAAAGGUCAAACUAAGUUGAACAAGCGUCAUGCCAAAUGGAGUGAAUUUAUUGAAUCUUUUCCCUAUGUGAUCAAGUACAUUAAGGGUAAAGAAAAUGUAGUUGCCGAUGCACUUUCACGCAUAUGCACGUUUGUCACUAAACUUGAGUUGAAGGUUAUUGGCUUUGAGCACAUAAAAGAGUAUGCCAAGUGUUUGACGCAUACUUCUUGGGAACAAUAUUACAUCAAAGAUGGUUAUGUUAUGAGAGCUAACAAACUAUGUAUUCCCGAGUCUUCUGUUCGUUUGCUCCUUUUGCAAGAGGCCCAUGGAGGCGGACUCAUGGCACACUUUGGACGCGACAAGACAUUCGCCACGCUCUCCAAGAACUACUUUUGGCCCAAGAUGUUCCGAGACGUCUCACGCUUCACCAACCGAUGCUCUACAUGUCGCAAAGCUCAGUCUGAAUCUCAAUCUCAUGGUAUUUACAUGCCUCUUCCAAUUCCUUAUCAACCUUGGGAAGACAUUAGCACGGAUUUUGUACUUGGUUUGCCUAGAACUCAAAAUGGAAGGAUUCCGUGUUUGUUGUUGUGGAUAGAUUUUCUAAGAUGGCACAUUUCAUUCCUUGCAACAAGAUAGACGAUGCUUCACACAUUGCAAAUCUCUUUUGUAGGGAAAUCUUGCGACUCCAUGGAGUACCAAAGACAAUCGUCUCCGAUCGUGACGUCAAGUUCUUGAGUUACUUUUGGAAGACCCUAUGCGCCAAGAUCGGAGUCAAGCUCUUGUCCUCAUCCGCAUACCACCCUCAAACCGACGGCUAAACGGAGGUGACGAACCGCACACUCUCCACUCUACUUCGCGUCUUGAUCAAGAAGAACAUCAAGGAGUGGGAGGCAUGUCUACCCAUCGCCCAGUACACCUACAAUCGUGCAAGACAUUCGACUACCGGCAAGUCCCCCUUCGAGGUCGUCUACGGCUUCAACCCGUUGUCACCAUUGGAAACUCUACCUCUUCCUCUACAAGAGCGCUCCAACAUGGAUGCGAGUGCACGGGCAAGCUACAUCAAGAAGAUGCAUGAGGAUACAAGACAAACCAUCGAGCGACAAGUACAACGACUAGCGACCAAGCUCAACGUCAACAAGCAACCCAUGGUCUUCAACAUUGGUGAUCUAGUGUGGCUACACCUUCACAAGGACCGCUUCCCCAAAGAACGCAAGUCCAAGCGUCUCACUCGAGCCGAUGGACCUUUCAAGGUGCUAGCACGCUACAACGACAACGCCUACAAGAUAGACCUACCUCGAGACAAGUACAAUGUGAGCGACAUCUUCAACGUCAAGGACCUCACACCAUACCAUGGAGAUGAAGCUUUUGAUCCGAGGUCGGAUCUAUCUCAAGGGGGGGGAGAUGAUGCGGAGCAUCCCUCACUCAUCCCCAUGGACACACCUACAUCUUCCUCAACACCACGUGGACCCAUGACUCGAGCCCGAGCUAAGGCUAUCGAAGAAAAGGUGAACUCUCUCCUCUCCGAACUCCCUCCUCCUACUCACGAGACAUGGCUACUACCUCAUUCGGAAACUCUAUGCGUAAUCAGGUACAUGGAGGUGAGCCAAGGAACAACUACUUGCAAGAGCCAAGACGACGAGGACCCCAAGCAUGUUGAAGAAGAAGAAGAAAAGCUGCUGAAGCUACAGGCAUCGGACGUCCGACCAAGUCCGGACGUCCGACGACUCCCAGGCCUCGGACGACCGACGCCAUCCGGACAUCCGGCAGCUGGGCACCCGAAUGGAAACUCAUGGACGACCGAAGCCACCGGACGUCCGACCGACGCACGCCGAACCGAAUCUACGGACGUCCGAAUACCACCGGACGUCCGGACCCUCGCGAACCUCCGGACGACCGGUGACCUCCGGACGUCCGACGCCUGUGUGUUGACUUCAAUUGGGCCGCAGCCCUUGUACCCCUUUGCCCCUAGACUAUAUAUACUCUUUCUUCCCCGCCUUUCUAGGGUUAGCAAUAGUUUAGCUCAUGUUUGUGUGAGAGCUUUGCUCAUCCACUUGGUUACCUUCUCCUCGGAGCUCAGGACCUCUACGGAGAAGAUCCCCCAAGCGGAUUCAAGACCCCCUUCUAGGGUGGACCCCAUCAAGACCUCCUCAUGGAGAAGAAUGGCUACUCGUGUAUCUUUCCUUUGUUGAUUUUGAAUCUUGUGCUACCUUUUGUGUUCGGUGAUCUAGCCUUUGUGUGAUCGAUACUUGUCGGUUUCGUGUUCCUCUUGUGUGUUUUCCUUGUGUUUUUCCGCUUGUUCGUCGUGUUCUCCCCAUAGGAUCCCCUCCAAACGUGAAAGAUCCCCGAUUAGGGUUCCGCCCUACAUCAAACUUGUUACCUCGUUGUGUGGCUCAUACAUCAAGCUUCGUGACAUAGUAAAAAAAAGCUUUUAAGCAAAAGAGAAGAGAAGCAAAGAGCUUAUAAGAAAUAUCAUCGAGCCUCUUAGCAUACGUGCAUCAUCUUGGUCAUUACAUACAUAAGCAUAAUUGGGAUUGUGAGACGAUCGGUUUCUCUAUUAGGUUGGUGCACUAGCAUAUCUAGCCCAUUAGUGCAAUCGAGCUAGCGUCUCUCUAGUAUUCGCACAACAAGAGCAUUUUCCAUGGUUGCACAUUUGAGCUCACCCGUUGGUUUUGCAGAUCCCAUCUAUCUUCCGUGUGUGUGUUCCUAGUGAUAUCAUUGGGUUUGAUCUAUUUGUCUUACUUGCCAUUUGUGAAUAUUAUCAACUUUAUCGAUAUCUUGACUAACAUUUGCUUGAAAUUUUUGCCACCAUCCUAACUGAGCUCCUCCAUAGACCAUUUACUUGUAGGUGUGAGAAACAAUUCCAGGUACCAAUUCCCCUAUUGUAACAUCACGUGGGAUCGUACUUGUUGCAUCCACAAUCUUCGGAAAAGGUAACUUUGGUUUUGUUCUCUCAUUUUCCUACUCACCACCACUUCCAUAUGAUGGAUAGGCCAAGUACCUCUACCAACCCACUCUUCAUCGAGCAAGACGACGGCAUGUCAUCAUUCGUCACCAAGAGCCACCUCUUUGGUGCACAACGGGCGCUACAUCAAGAGCAACAAGAAAUUAACGACCACAUCAACAACCUCGCCACCGACUUGUGACUCUCCGAGCAACGUACACGGGACUACUUCGGCAACAAGCUCGACACGCACAACCAAGACAACGAUGCAAGAAUGGACGAGAUCCGUGCUUUGUUGGUCAACCGGCCUCCUUCAACUUCUUCCUACUCAAGACGGAGCCACUCAAGUCGACACUCGAUGACACCUUCUCCGGCUCAAGUACACCGUCAUCAAACACUCUUCGACGAGCCGCGCGUCAAGACCGCCAUGCAUCUCGAAACCCGCUACAUGUCAAGCAUUCACAAGAGCAAGUUGAUGAGCAAGUUCCUCGUCCUCGUUCAAACCAAGACGCUUUUGCUCAAGCUCAAGAACGACAACGACUAUGGUGCCAAGAGGAAGAACGAGCGCGUCUACACCAAGAAGAACAAGACGCCGAGGCUCAACGUCUUCAACAACAACAACGAGAAGCGCAAGCUCUUGAGGCGCAACGUGCCCUUCAAGAAUCAAGUCGAUCCAUCGCCAACCGCAAUCGUGAACGGUGCAAUCAAGAGGAAGCCCUUCGAGAAGAAAUCCACGAGAGGAACUACCAACCCCGCGGGCAACGUCAAGUUCCUCAAGCUACUCCACAAGCUCGCCAAGACCCACCUCAACCUCAAGUUCAACAAGAGCAAGUGGAUCAUAGACUUCCUCCACGCCAAGAGCGACAUCUCGAGGAUCGAGCAUUUGAGGAUCCUCCUCCACGACAAGAGCGACAUCACAACCGCUACUUCCACGACGAACUCCGCUACGGCAAGCUAAAGUUCACCAUGCCCAAGUUCAACGGAAGCAAUGACCCCGAAGAGUACCUCUCAUGGGCAUUGAAGGUCGACAAAAUCUUCCGGUUGCACAACUACGCUGAAGAGAAGAAGAUCGCUAUGGCAUCACUCGAGUUCCAAGACUAUGUUCUCAUUUGGUGGGAACAAGUGAUUGAGCGACGACGUACAAGAGGAGAGCCACCAAUCACAACUUGGACGGCCAUGAAGGAUGUCAUGAGAGCUCAUUUCAUGCCUACUCACUACAAUCGUGAUCUCUUCAAGAAGUUGCAACUCCUCAAACAAGGCACGAAGACGGUGGAAGAAUACUACCAAGAAAUGGAGAUUGCCAUGAUACGAGCCAAUGUCAAGGAAGACGACGAGCAAACAAUGGCACGCUUCUUGAACGGCCUCAACCAUCCAAUCAAGCGGAUUGCCAACUUCCAACCAUACUCAAACCUAGUCGAGCUAGUUCAUCAAGCGACCAAGGCCGAGCGACAAGUCCAAGAUGACUUCAAAUACACCAAGUACUCGUCCAAGACCUACAGCUCCUCUUAUCAAGCUCCCGCGACUCCGGCAACUCCUACAUCAACUAGAGCCUUACCAAGUACCGGCGACAAGUCAAGUUAGAAGAAAACUUCGAUAAGUUCAAGUCGUCCUCCUCCUACUUCAAACAACUUCAAGCCGCGUGCUUCGUCCUCUACUCCGACCGAUGAGACCGUCAAGACAAGCUCCUUCAAGUGUUUCACUUGCGGCGGCCGAGGCCACAAGUCCUUUGAGUGCACAAACAAGCGCACCAUGAUCUUCAACGAUGACGGCACCUACGACUCCAUGAGUGAAGGAGAAAUGGAAGCCCUUGAGCAAGUGGCCAUGCACCGACAAGUGAACAACGACGACAAAGAUGAUCAAGUCUUUUGUGAUGAAGAUUCAAGUCCCGCUCUUGUUGUCUCCAAGGUCUUGACUCUUCAACAUCAACAAGAAGAAGACCAAAGAUGCCAUAUCUUCCAUACAAAGGCCGGCAUCAAUGGAAGGUCUGAUGAGGACAUCAAUACCAUUGUUACACCCACAGCCCCUACUGUUACAUAUACGGGACCAAUUACUAGAGCUCGCGCACGCCAAUUAAAUUACCAGGUACUUUCGUUUCUUGGUAAUGAUUCUAAUGUUCAUGAGAAUAUGAUGCUGCCUAAAUUGGAUACAUUUGUUUUGCUUACAAAUGAAGGGCCUAGCUUGGAGAAGGAUGAACAUUGGAGCAAGAACACGCAUGGAGUUGAUGGCAUGCGCAAGGGGAUCAAGAACGGAGUUACAAGUGAUGAUUUCAGGACUUUGAAGCCACCAUAAGGAGUGCAUGAAGCCUCGAACGAAAUAUACAAGAUGCCACUUCAUAAUAUUCGUCCAUAGGCUAUUCUAGGUGCUGCGUCACCUUAUUAUUGGGCCAGGCCCAUGUAAUUUCGAAAUACUUAAGUAUAGGCAAUUUUUAGAGUUCGUAUGUGUGGGUAAACAAGAGUUAGGGUUGGUUUCGGACCCCACCCUCAAGGGCCACGAAAUUCCCUCCUCUUCCCCCAUAUAUACAGCCCUUAGGGCGUCGUUUAGACUUUGGGUUUUGUUUAGAUCAAAAGUUCGCCAUAGCUACAACUUCACGUACUUCAUUUGUGUUCAACGACCAGACCAAGGCGUCACAGAAACCCACCUUCAUUAAUAAAGCUUUUCCUCUUAUAUUCGCAAUAUCCAGAUUGCAAUCUUAGUUUCUUGCUUGUUCUUUGUUUGCUCGCAGGAAACAGGCCCUCGUGGUCAGGUUGAUCGUGCUCCGGCAUGGUCAAUAACCCUCGGAAGUUGGUUUCGCGAUUGCUAAGGCGCGACGUCUCGCACGUUCGUAGUCGGAUCGUCAAGGUCGACUCCCACAGAAAACGAUAGCCACCAUCUCAUCGAAACAUCGGGACACCUUUGCCUCUAUCAAGUGGUAUCAGAUUUUCAGGUUGCUCGGUGAGAUUUUACAGUUUUUCAUAGUUUAGAUCGAGUUUGUUUUUCAUACCAACAGUCCACGAAAAAGCCAAAAAAAAUUAGGGUUAGUUCAUCCUAUCCGAACCAAUCUGAGCCUUUGCAUAAUCAUUUCUGUAUUUGCUUUGUUGAUUUUGCGGUUGCAUCGUCGUGUCAAGUUGCUGGUCUUAGCGUCUAGUCCUUUAGAGUUUCGAGUUCUGUUCACAGGUUGUCACGUCGCCGCUGCCAUAUAUCACCACCACAUCAUCAACAUCGCUGCUGCCACAUAUCACCACCGCAUUAUCAUCAUCACCGAUGCCAUAUAUCACCACAUAUUCACCGCCAAUCCGAGUCCAUAUACGCCACCACAUAUCCACCGCCAUCACGCCAAUUCGAGUCCACCUGCAACAUAUAUCCGCCACCAGUCCGAGUUCCACCAGAUUCAUCUCCGCCACCAGUCCGAGAUUCCACCAGAUUUCUCUCCGCCACCAGUCCUAGUCCGAGUCCAGUAAUUGUUGCUUUGUUUUGGAUUUCCAGAUCAUGCCAUACUCCGAGUCAUGACAGAGAAGGACUCCCCAAUUUUUGUGCCAUCCGCAGAAGAAAAAUAGUUCGAGUUUCAAAGAAAAUUCUGGCUAGGCAGUUUUUAGACCAUUUGUAGACGUUUUCGGAAAAAAAUUGUUGCGGAGCAAAAAAAGAGAGGAAAAAAAGUGCAAAAAAAAAGAAAAAAAGAGGAAAAAAAUUCAGAGUGUGCUCCUCCCUUGUUUACGUGCAGCGCCGUGAUUUUUUUAGUGUUCUAGGCUCGCUUCUCUAGCACGGUCUAGCCUAGGACCAGCACAGUAUCGUCGUUGAGCGUUUAUUCAACUUUGCAUCUCUGAAUUGAUUAUUGCCGACCCUCUUUGCUACCAUAUUAUAAGCCUUCCCAGCUCCACAUACAUCUACGUCAUGCGUUUGACUCUCCCUGGCAACCGCUCUAUCCAAGCUUUUGAGAGUUUUGACUACAAGGGUUGCCGAUCACCGCCAGCUGCUGGGUAAGAACUGGUAAGAAUUUGAGAUUUGCUUGACGGAUUUGUGACACCCACCACCACCUCUUGUUAGUAGUCUGUAGGAUCAUAUUCUUUUGUGUUUCUAUUGCUGCUAACCAUGCCAGGAUCACAAGCCGACGAGACUGACUGGGAGAACAUGAUGAAUAAAGAGUUGCAUGAUAAAUUUUAGCAAAUGAUGAGUGGACAGGUGCAGGAUGUGCUAAACAGAUUUGAAGAGGCCAUGGAGAAGAUAGAUGGCAUGGAGAAGACGUUCGACACAAAGCUCGAUAACAAGUUUAAUGAAUUGCUCGCGCGUCUUCCACCACCACCACCGGCUGCACCUAACGCACCUCUACAACCACAACAACAGCACCGACUACCUCCACGUCGCGAAACAGCCCUCCGCCGAGCGACCCGUGUCCCUCUUGCGCUUGGCCAAACUGUUGGUGCUGCUGUCGAUACUUAUGUGGCUCCUGCUGCUGAUGCGGAGGAGGAUGAUUAUGUGGGAGAUUACGAGGAUGAAGUUGAUAAAAAUCAGAACUACGUGCAACCACCAGCACCACAACCACUAGGUCGUCCACAUGCAAAUAAUGGCAAUUUUAGGGCUCCCCUUCAGGUACGACAUCAUGACCUUCUCCCUAAACUGAAAUUGAAUAUUCCACCUUUUGAGGGUAGAUAUGUUCCUGAUAUAUAUCUUACUUGGGAGUUAGAAACUGAACAACGAUUUACAUGUUUACAAUAUCCUGAGGAGAGACGUGUUCCUGCUGCUGUUUGUGCUUUCACUAGCUUUGCAUGUGUUUGGUGGUCUGAACCAAUGUUGAGGAUAUCGCUUAUCGUUAUCGUUUCGGUCAGCUAGGGAUUAGGGAUUAAUCGGAAACCGGCCGAUUAAUCGAAUUUAUCUGUCGACUAUUAAUCGGAUAUCUUUUUUGCAAAUAUCAGGUUCCCAACACUAAAAUAUGCUAUAUUCAACACCAAAACAAUAUUUGACAGAAGUGUUACCUUGAUUUCUAGCCUUUGAAUCCUCGUAUAAUGGCAAACAAAAUAGGAAAAUAGUACAUAUUUCGUAACAAGGUCCACAGAACAUAAAUAAACAUAGUUUUUGCAAACAUCGUGAUAUGAAUAGGUCUAAUUUCUCGGUAGAUUCCCGAUAAAUCGCUUGUCAAAACGAUAAAUCGGUCCAAAAGAUAAACGGAAAAGAUAAGGCAUAAUCUUAUCGGUCACCCCCCGAUUAGCAAUAAAUCGGAAGAUUAAUCGGUGAAUCGGAAGAUUUCUUGAAUAGUGGUCUAAACAUUGUCGUUUAUAUCCUGUUCCAGCUACUUGGGCUGCUUUGCAAACUGCUAUGCGUACUCGUUGGGUUCCACCAUAUUAUCAACGUGAAUUACUUCAAAAAUUGCAGCGCUUAAGACAAGGAAAAAAUUCUGUAGAAGAAUAUUAUCAGGAAAUACAAACUGGCUUGAUUAGAUGUGGUAUUAUUGAGGAGAAAGAGGCUAUGCUUGCACGUUUUCUGGGUGGAUUAAAUAGAGAGAUUCAGACCAUUCUAGACUAUAAGGAUUAUAAUAAUAUCACUCGUUUAUUCCAUCUUGCUUGUAAAGUUGAACGUGAAGUGCAGGAUCGACAGGCAUUGGCGCGCACUAACUUUUCUGCAGGUCGACCUUCAUCAUGGACACCACAUGCAUCAUCUACUUCCACUGCACCAUCACCUCCUUCAGGAGCCACCUCCAACCGUGAUACAAGAAAGCAGGCACAACCACCACUAUCUGCCAAGAGCACACCUGCAGGGCCUGCACAGAGCUCUUCUUCUUCCAUGGCGUCAACAGGGCACACAAGUGAUAUUAUUUGUCGUCGUUGUAAGGGAAGAGGACAUUUUGCGAAAGAAUGCAAAUCUCAGCGUGUGAUGAUUGCUACUGAGGAUGGUGGGUAUGAGUCCGCUAGUGACUAUGAUGAGGAGACUUUGGCUCUUAUUACACAUGAAGAACACGGUGGAGAUGAUUCUGAUCAUGAGACACAAUACAUGGCUGCUGAAGAUGCUGACAGGUAUGAAUGUUUAGUUGUUCAACGUGUUUUGAGUGUGCAGGUUACACAAGCUGAGCAAAAUCAGAGGCAUAAUUUGUUCCAUACAAAGGGAGUUGUGAAGGAACGUUCUAUUCGCGUCAUCAUAGAUGGAGGGAGCUGCAACAACUUGGCUAGCAUGGAGAUGGUGGAGAAGCUAUCUCUCACCACAAGACCACAUCCACAUCCUUACUACAUCCAAUGGUUCAACAACAGCGGCAAGGUUAAGGUAACACAUACUGUUUGUGUGCAUUUUAGUAUCUCUUCAGGUAACACAUACUGUUCAUGUGCAUUUUAGUAUCUCUACAUAUGUUGAUUAUGUUGAUUGUGAUGUGGUACCUAUGCAAGAUUGUUCCUUAUUACUUGGUAGACCAUGGCAAUUUGAUAAAAAUUCUGUACACCAUGGUAGAAACAAUCAGUAUACUCUUGUUCAUAAGGAUAAAAAUAUUACUUUUCUUCCUAUGACUCCUGAUUCCAUUUUGAAAGAUGAUAUUAAUAGAGCUAAUAAAGCAAAACAGGAGAAAAAUAAGAGUGAAAAUCAGAUUGUGGCAAAAGAAUUUGAGCAACAAAUGAAGCCUAAUAGUAAACCAUCUAGUGUUGUUUCUGAAAUUAAAUUGAAAAGUGCAUGUUUACUUGCCACUAAAUCUGAUAUUGACGAGCUAGAUUUCAGCAAUUCUGUUUGCUAUGCUUUUGUGUGCAAAGAGGCAUUAUUUUCAUUCGAGGACGUGCCUUCCUCUUUCCCUCCUGCUGUCACUAACAUUUUGCAGGAGUUCGUUGACGUCUUUCCACAAGACGUGCCACCGGGAUUACCUCCCAUUCGAGGGAUUGAGCAUCAGAUUAACUUAAUUCCCGGUGCAUCAUUACCCAACCAUGCACCAUACCGUACCAAUCCAGAGGAGACGAAGGAGAUUAUGCGUCAAGUACAUGAGCUGCUCGACAAAGGUUAUAUACGUGAAUCCCUUAGUCCUUGUGCUGUUCCUAUUAUUCUAGUGCCGAAAAAGGAUGGUACAUCAUGUAUGUGUGUUGAUUGUAGAGGCGUUAAUAAUAUUACUAUUCGUUAUCGUCAUCCUAUUCCUAGGCUAGAUGAUAUGCUUGAUGAAUUGAGUGGCUCUACAAUAUUCUCCAAAGGUUAUUUGCGUAGUGGAUACCAUCAAAUGCGUAUGAAAUUGGGAGAUGAAUGGAAAUCAUCAUUUAAAACUAAGUUUGGAUUAUAUGAGUGGUUAGUCAUGCCUUUUGGGUUAACUAAUGCACCUAGUACUUUCAUGAGAUUAAUGAACGAAGUUUUAUGUGCUUUCAUUGGAUGAUUUGUGGUAGUUUACUUUGAUGACAUAUUGAUUUAUAGCAGAUCUUUGGAGGAACAUUAGGAACAUUUACGUGCUGUUUUUAUUGCUCUACGUGAUGCACAUUUGUUUGCUAACCUUGGGAAGUGCACCUUUUGCACCGACCGAGUAUCUUUUCUUGGCUAUGUUGUUACUCCACGGGGAAUUGAAGUUGACAAAGCCAAGAUUGAAGCUAUUGAGAGUUGGCCGCAGCCCAAAACGGUCACACAAGUGAGGAGUUUUCUUGGCCUCACUGGAUUCUAUAGGCGUUUUGUGAGAGAUUUCAGCACCAUUGCUGCACCUCGCAACGAUCUUACAAAGAAGGAUGUGCCUUUUGUUUGGGGUACCACACAGGAAGAAGCCUUCACGGUAUUGAAAGAUAAGUUGACACAUUCUCCUUCACUCCAACUUCCUGAUUUUAAUAAGACUUUUGAGCUUGAAUGUGAUGCUAGUGGAAUUGGAUUAGGAGGUGUGUUAUUACAAGAUGGCAAACCUGUUGCAUACUUUUAUGAAAAAUUGAGUGGGCCUAGUCUGAAUUAUUCUACUUAUGAUAAAGAAUUAUAUGCUCUUGUUCAGACUUUUGAAACAUGGCAACAUUAUUUAUGGCCCAAAGAAUUUGUUAUACAUUCUGAUCAUGAAUCUUUGAAACACACUAAAAGUCAAGCAAAACUGAACCGUAGACAUGCUAAAUGGGUUGAAUUCAUUGAGACUUUCCCUUAUGUCAUUAAACACAAGAAGGGUAAAGAAAAUGUUAUUGCUGAUGCAUUGUCUCGUCGUUAUACUAUGCUUUCACAACUUGACUUUAAAAUAUUUGGUUUGGAGACCAUCAAAGAUCAAUAUGUGCAUGAUGCUGAAUUUAUAGAUGUAUUGCAGAAUUGUAAAGAAGGUAGAACAUGGAACAAGUUCAUCGUUAAUGAUGGAUUUGUGUUUCGUUCUAACAAGCUAUGCAUUCUAGCUAGCUCCAUUCGUCUUUUGUUGUUGCAGGAGGCGCAUGGAGGAGGACUAAUGGGACACUUUGGCGUGAAGAAGACGGAGGAUAUACUUGCUACACAUUUCUUUUGUCCAAAGAUGAGACGGGAUGUUGAGCGUUUUGUUGCUCGCUACACUACAUGUCAAAGAGCUAAGUCACGACUCAAUCCUGAUGGUUUAUAUAUGCCUUUGCCUGUACCUAGUGUUCCUUGGGAGGAUAUAUCUAUGGACUUUGUUUUAGGUUUACCUCGAACAAACAAGGGGAGGGAUAGCAUAUUUGUUGUCGUGGAUAGAUUCUCGAAAAUGGCACACUUUAUACCAUCUCAUAAAAGCGAUGAUGCUGUUAAUGUUGCUGAUUUGUUCUUUCGUGAAAUUAUUCGCUUGCAUGGUGUGCCAAAUACUAUUGUUUCAGAUCGUGAUACUAAAUUUCUUAGCCACUUUUGGAGAUGUUUAUGGGCUAAGUUGGGGACUAAACUGCUUUUUAGUACUACUUGUCACCCCCAAACAGAUGGACAAACUGAAGUAGUCAAUAGAACAUUGUCUACUAUGCUUAGGGCUGUUUUGAAGAAGAAUAAGAAAAUGUGGGAAGAAUGCUUGCCUCAUAUUGAAUUUGCUUAUAACCGUUCAUUGCAUUCUACUACUAAGAUGUGCCCUUUUGAAAUUGUGUAUGGUUUCCUACCUCGUGCACCUAUUGAUUUGUUGCCUCUUCCAUCUUCGGAGAAGGUUAAUUUUGAUGCUAAAGAACGUUCUGAAUUGAUUUUAAAAAUGCAUGAGUUAACUAAGGAAAACAUUGAGCCUAUGAAUGUUAAAUACAAACUUGCUGGAGAUAAGGGUAGAAAACAUGUUGUAUUUGCACCUGCAGAUCUUGUUUGGUUACAUUUGUGUAAAGAUAGAUUUCCUAAUUGUCACAAAUCAAAGCUAAUGCCACGUGCUGAUGGUCCUUUUAAGGUGUUAGAGAAAAUAAAUGAUAAUGCAUAUAAACUUGAGCUACCUGCAGAUUUUGGGGUUAGUCCCACUUUUAACAUUGCAGAUUUGAAGCCUUAUUUGGGUGAGGAAGAUGAGCUUCCGUCGAGGACGACUUCAUUUCAAGAAGGGGAGGAUGAUGAGGACAUCAAUACCAUUGUUACACCCACAGCCCCUACUGUUACAUAUACGGGACCAAUUACUAGAGCUCACGCACGCCAAUUAAAUUACCAGGUACUUUUGUUUCUUGGUAAUGAUUCUAAUGUUCAUGAGAAUAUGAUGCUGCCUAAAUUGGAUACAUUUGUUUUGCUUACAAAUGAGGGGACUAGCUUGGAGAAGGAUGAACAUUGGAGCAAGAACACGCAUGGAGUUGAUGGCAUGCGCAAGGGGAUCAAGAACGGAGUUACAAGUGAUGAUUUCAGGACUUUGAAGCCACCAUAAGGAGUGCAUGAAGCCUCGGACGAAAUAUACAAGAUGCCACUUCAUAAUAUUCGUCCAUAGGCUAUUCUAGGUGAUGCUUCACCUUAUUAUUGGGCCAGGCCCAUGUAAUUUCGAAAUACUAAAGUAUAGGCUAUUUUUAGAGUCUGUAUGUGUGGGGAAACAAGAGUUAGGGUUGGUUUCGGACCCCACCCUCAAGGGCCACGAAAUUCCCUCCUCUUCCCCCAUAUAUACAGCCUUAGGGCGUCGUUUAGACUUUGGGUUUUGUUUAGAUCAAAAGUUCGCCAUAGCUGCAACUUCGCGUACUUCGUUUGUGUUCAACGACCAGACCAAGGCGUCACAGAAC
rnacentral:lncRNA from 1 species